rnacentral:rRNA from 1 species
UACGAAGGGGGCUAGCGUUGCUCGGAAUCACUGGGCGUAAAGGGUGCGUAGGCGGGUUAUUAAGUCAGUGGUGAAAGCCUGCAGCUUAACUGCAGAAUUGCCAUUGAUACUGAUGAUCUUGAGUAUGAUUGAGGUGGGCGGAAUGUGUCAUGUAGCGGUGAAAUGCUUAGAUAUGACACAGAACACCGAUUGCGAAGGCAGCUCACUAAGUCAUAACUGACGCUGAUGCACGAAAGCGUGGGGAGCAAACCGG